rnacentral:rRNA from 1 species
GGCCAAGCAAGAGUGGCAUACGGUGGAUGCCUUGGCACCAGGCGCCGAUGAAGGACGUGGGAGGCCGCGAUAGUCCACGGGGAGUUGUCAACCGAGCGGUGAUCCGUGGGUGUCCGAAUGGGGGAACCCAGCCCGAGUUGUGUCGGGUUGCCGCCGUCUGAAUGUAUAGGGCGGUUGGUGGUGACGCGGGGAAGUGAAACAUCUCAGUACCCGCAGGAAGAGAAAACAUGCCUUGGCACCAGGCGCCGAUGAAGGACGUGGGAGGCCGCGAUAGUCCACGGGGAGUUGUCAACCGAGCGGUGAUCCGUGGGUGUCCGAAUGGGGGAACCCAGCCCGAGUUGUGUCGGGUUGCCGCCGUCUGAAUGUAUAGGGCGGUUGGUGGUGACGCGGGGAAGUGAAACAUCUCAGUACCCGCAGGAAGAGAAAACAAGAGUGAUUCCCUGAGUAGUGGUGAGCGAAAGGGGAUGGUGGCUAAACCGCGUGCGUGUGAGAGGCGGCAGCCGUUGCGUGCGUGGGGUUGUGGGGUUGCGUUGUGUCCGGUCUGCCGGCUGGGCGCGCUGGUGGUUGCUGUAGUCGAAGCCGUUGGGAAGCGGUGCCGGAGUGGGUGAGAGUCCCGUAGGCGAAGCGGUGAUCAUUGGUGUGGACGUUGUCCCCGAGUAGCGCGGAGCUCGUGGAAUUCCGUGUGAAUCCGGCAGGACCACCUGUCAAGCCUGAAUACGUCCUGGUGACCGAUAGUGGACGAGUACCGUGAGGGAAAGGUGAAAAGUGCCCCGGUGAGGGGUUGUGAAAGAGUACCUGAAACCGUGUGCUGUCAAGCCGUCAGAGCUUCGCUUUGGUGCGGGGUGAUGGCGUGCCUUUUGAAGAAUGAGCCUGCGAGUCGUGGUGUGUGGCGAGGUUAACCCGGGUGGGGUAGCCGUAGCGAAAGCGAGUCUGAACAGGGCGGUUGAGUCGCAUGCUGUGGACCCGAAGCGGGGUGAUCUACCCAUGGCCAGGGUGAAGCGGAGGUAAGACUUCGUGGAGGCCCGAACCCACCAGGGUUGAAAACCUGGGGGAUGAGCUGUGGGUAGGGGUGAAAGGCCAAUCAAACUCCGUGAUAGCUGGUUCUCCCCGAAAUGCAUUUAGGUGCAGCGUCGUGUGGUGCU